CACAAACCCAGAGCAGCAACAAAACCUGAGGAAAUCCGUAGGUGCUUGUUACGGAAGUUGCCUUGAAGAGCCCGUUACAAACGGCUUGAUUAUAUUGCCCUCUGCCGGAACUACAGAAAAUCGCAGACUAAUGCUUAACGCGGGGAAAAACUGGCAGGAGAGCCACGAACAAGUACGAAAAAAUUGUUUCACACGGCUUAACAGAAUCACAGAAUCAAAUGCUUCUGGAUUUGGAAUCCAAAGAGUGGCUUGGGUUUUCUUCUGACUUGCUGAAGGGAUAUUCAUUUCUUUUAGAGAAGAAUCCAUGUACGCAGGAGAGAGACCCAAAGUUAAACUUGCCAAGAAAAUGGGUUUUGUAUCCUCAAACUUACAGGCAAAGAAAAAAAAAGGAUAAUUUUGGAGUUACAUAGGCAGAUGCAUUCAGAGCUGAUGAGAGAACUGUUGUGUGAAAUUGGGAGGAAAAGGUCUCUGGGUCCUGUGCCGCAGAUCUUUUUUAAUGUUUGCAUUCACAAAGAAUACAUAGUUUUCCCCAGUGAAAUGUUUUUAUUAAUAGUAUUUAUUAUUAUCCAUCUUUUGACUUGGACCAUUUUCCUCAUUAAAGCUUUAGGUCAUUCAGUGCAUACUUUGUUACUGAUGUCAAUGGAAGAAAUUAAUCCAUGUUUCUCCAGCCAUAGGUGCCAAGUUCUACUGCUAUUACACUGGCUAGAUGGCUCUGAAGCACAGGCAUCAACUGACAAGGGAGCUCUGGGCCUGAGGAGAUGAUGUGGAAGUUGCACCAUCUGAAUCAGUCUCAGGCAGGACUUGGUGGCACAGUGAAGCAAAAAUGCUCAGUGAAAUCAGUCAGCAAACUAGCAGUUUUCAUUACCAUGAGGCUGGUUAUUACUGUUGUCACAGCUUCGAUUGAAUGACUUUAACUUUUAAACUAAAAUAGGAAAAUAAGUCGGAAAUGCACCAAGAUGAAGAAUUUAUUGAUGUAUUCUGGUUGGGCUUUCAUUAUGUUUUAAUGUUUUAAUUUUGUGGAUAAACAAUUUAAUUUGUACAGUGAUAAACUGAAAGGUAAUUUCUGAAUAAAACUGAAUUUUAACUAUUUCA
rnacentral:lncRNA from 1 species